GAUGAAGAACGUAGCGAAAUGCGAUACGUAAUGUGAAUUGCAGAAUUCAGUGAAUCAUCGAAUCUUUGAACGCCUAUUGCGCUCUUUGGUAUUCCGAAGAGCAUGCUUGUUUGAGUAUCAGUAAACACCUCAACCUCUUCUUGAUUUUUCAAAAGGAGGGUGGACGAGCUAUCCCAACAACCUUUACCGGUCGGCGGGCGGCUUGAAAUGCAGGUGCAGCUGGACUUUUAUCUGAGCUAAAAGCAUAUCUAUUUAGUCCUCGUCAAACAGGAUUAUUACUUUUGCUGCAGCUAACAUAAAGGAUAAUUGUCCUCUUUGCUGACUGAUGCAGGAUUUUACGACACUUUAUGUGUUGUUCAACUCGAUCUCAAAUCAAGUAAGACUACCCGCUGAACUUAAGCAUAUCAAUAAGCGGAGGA
rnacentral:misc_RNA from 1 species